rnacentral:rRNA from 1 species
AAAGCUCAAAUUUGAAAUCUGGCGCCUUCGGUGUCCGAGUUGUAAUUUGAAGAUUGUAACCUUGGGGUUGGCUCUUGUCUAUGUUUCUUGGAACAGGACGUCACAGAGGGUGAGAAUCCCGUGCGAUGAGAUGCCCAAUUCUAUGUAAGGUGCUUUCGAAGAGUCGAGUUGUUUGGGAAUGCAGCUCUAAGUGGGUGGUAAAUUCCAUCUAAAGCUAAAUAUUGGCGAGAGACCGAUAGCGAACAAGUACAGUGAUGGAAAGAUGAAAAGAACUUUGAAAAGAGAGUGAAAAAGUACGUGAAAUUGUUGAAAGGGAAGGGUUUGAGAUCAGACUCGAUAUUUUGUGAGCCUUGCCUUCGUGGCGGGGUGACCCGCAGCUUAUCGGGCCAGCAUCGGUUUGGGCGGUAGGAUAAUGGCGUAGGAAUGUGACUUUACUUCGGUGAAGUGUUAUAGCCUGCGUUGAUGCUGCCUGCCUAGACCGAGGACUGCGAUUUUAUCAAGGAUGCUGGCAUAAUGAUCCCAAACCGCCCGUCUUGAACCACGGACC